rnacentral:rRNA from 1 species
GGAAGGAGUUUUCGGACAACGGAAGGUGAGGACAGUGGCGGACGGGUGAGUAACGCGUGAGGAACCUGCCUUUCAGAGGGGGACAACAGUUGGAAACGACUGCUAAUACCGCAUGACACAUAGAGAUCGCAUGGUUUUUAUGUCAAAGAUUUAUCGCUGAAAGAUGGCCUCGCGUCUGAUUAGCUAGUUGGUGAGGUAACGGCCCACCAAGGCGACGAUCAGUAGCCGGACUGAGAGGUUGACCGGCCACAUUGGGACUGAGAUACGGCCCAGACUCCUACGGGAGGCAGCAGUGGGGAAUAUUGGGCAAUGGGCGCAAGCCUGACCCAGCAACGCCGCGUGAAGGAAGAAGGCUUUCGGGUUGUAAACUUCUUUUGUCGGGGACGAGUAGAAGACGGUACCUGGCGAAUAAGCCACGGCUAACUACGUGCCAGCAGCCGCGGUAAUACGUAGGUGGCAAGCGUUGUCCGGAUUUACUGGGUGUAAAGGGCGUGUAGCCGGGAAGGCAAGUCAGAUGUGAAAUCCACGGGCUUAACUCGUGAACUGCAUUUGAAACUACUUUUCUUGAGUAUCGGAGAGGCAAUCGGAAUUCCUAGUGUAGCGGUGAAAUGCGUAGAUAUUAGGAGGAACACCAGUGGCGAAGGCGGAUUGCUGGACGACAACUGACGGUGAGG